rnacentral:ncRNA from 1 species
UUUUUGGAGAGUUUGAUCCUGGCUCAGGACGAACGCUGGCGGCGUGCCUAACACAUGCAAGUCGAACGGUCUAAUGCUUAACACUGAGUGUUCAGUAAGGUAGGGGACAGCGAGAGCGCGAAGAAUGAGCGCUCCACGCAUUCAAUAAGUGCCAACAAUACCGAUGGGAAGCUGAAUAUUGAGUGUUAAGUAUUAGAUAGUGGCGGAC